rnacentral:lncRNA from 1 species
CAUAGGGAAAUUCGGGUACCACUCUGUACUAGUUUUCUAUUCAAAAACAAAAUGCUGUUAUCUCAUAGACAUGAAAUGUUAAUGAGCUGUGUUUCUGUGCCCACUGGGAGCCACCCAUGGGCCAGUUCUGCUGUGGAGAGUGCUAGAGAUUACUGAGUAGAAUGUCAGAAUUCAAGUGACCUCAAAGCCCCAUUGUGACCAAAUGGCCCUUUGCAUGAAUGGGGAUGUUCACACUCUGGCCUGUGAGCACAGAAAAGGGAGCUGAUACACCAUCUCUAGACGAUUAUGUAGUUUUUCACCAGACUACUCCUGAAAUGAGGCUGAGGAUCCCAUGGGAAAACAGAAAAAUCAAAUGUUAAAUCUGUGCCCUCCCCAGGUUGUAACAUCUGAAAAGCCACCACGAUGGAAAGUGACUGAUUAGUCUUGUCGACUCUGCAUUGUUUAUGCAAGAGUCUCUGGCUGUGCAAUAAGCAGGUUCAAAUGGUCAUGUGGUUGGGCAAGAUAACUGGAUCUAAUUACUGAGAGUCCCUGACAGAAGUGUCUGAGUUGAGAAAUCCAUCUGAAGAAUUCCCAGAUUCAUUCCUCAUCCCCGUCUGCUCUGCUCCACAUUACAGGCCCCCAGGUCAGUUGGCUACCGGCUGAACAUACCUGGUGGAAGACACUAACAGAAGGCUGCAGAGCAGAGCUUUCAUACAAUUCUGUGAAUGCUGAGAGACAAGAAGAGAGUGGGUGCCAGGAUGAAAUGAGGAAGCACUCCUGCCAGCUUCUACCAAAAACUAGGUGCUUAGACCAUGUUAUCCAAAACCAGUUCUUUGAAGGCACUAAAUGCUGAAUAAAUAUCACUAAAAUGUGUGUUU